AACUAAGUUUCUUCUUGGUAUAAGCUUUCAUGUGCAUGCACACUUCUUCAGGAUGUAUCUGAAGAAGUAUUCUUGCACAUGAAAGCUUAUACCAAGAACAAACUUGGUUGG
rnacentral:miRNA from 1 species